AAGAGACGUUGCCCUUCGGGUAUACCUCCCACCCUUUGUUUAUUAUACCUUUGUUGCUUUGGCGGGCCCGUCCUCGGACCACCGGCUUCUGCUGGUCAGUGCCCGCCAGAGGACCUAAAACUCUGUUUGUUAAUAUUGUCUGAGUACUAUAUAAUAGUUA
rnacentral:misc_RNA from 1 species